GAAGAAUCAAGCACAUGAAUAUGCCCAUCCUUAGUUGUCAAAAGCACAAGUCUCCCAUCGUUACUGAACUUAACGCUGUUAGCAUCAGACACAUCUCCACCAACAGAGAAAAUUUCAAAAGGUCCCUUGUCGAAAUAGCGUGCAUCAAACAUCCUUAUAUAUCCUCCAAAAGCAAUAGCAAAUACAAGGCCUUGCUCAUCAUAAGCAG
rnacentral:misc_RNA from 1 species